GACGAACGCUGGCGGCGUGCUUAACACAUGCAAGUCGAACGGUGAAGCGCCUUCCUUUUUGGCGGGUGUGGAUGAGUGGCGAACGGGUGAGUAACACGUGAGUAACCUGCCCCCUUCUUCUGGAUAACCGCAUGAAAGUGUGGCUAAUACGGGAUAUUCUGGGUCUGUCGCAUGAUGGUUCUUGGAAAUAUAUUGUUUCGGUUGGGUAUGGGCUCGCGGCCUAUCAGCUUGUUGGUGGGGUGAUGGCCUACCAAGGCGGUGACGGGUAGCCGGCCUGAGAGGGUGGACGGUCACACUGGGACUGAGACACGGACCAGACUACUACGGGAGGCAGCAGUGGGGAAUAUUGCACAAUGGGCGCAAGCCUGAUGCAGCGACGCCGCGUGAGGGAUGGAGGCCUGCGGGUUGUGAACCUCUUUAGCCAGUGAAGCAGGCCUGCCUCGUUUGUGGGUGGGUUGACGGUAGCUGGAUAAGAAGCGCCGGCUAACUACGUG
rnacentral:rRNA from 1 species